AGAGAUGUGUGAUGACGCAUAUCAAUAAGCGGAGGAAAAGAAACUAACUAGGAUUCCCUUAGUAACGGCGAGUGAAGCGGGAAGAGCUCAAAUUUGAAAUCUUCAAGGUUCUACCUUGACGAAUUGUAGUUUAUAGAAGUGUUUUCUGUUAGUAGAGUUGGCUAAAAGUUCUUUGGAAUAGGACAUCAUAGAGGGUGAGAAUCCCGUAUUUGAUCCAUUCUUUCUAGCUUUGUGAUACACUUUCAACGAGUCGGAUUGUUUGGGAAUGCAGUCCAAAAUGGGUGGUAAAUUCCAUCUAAAGCUAAAUAUUGGCGAGAGACCGAUAGCGAACAAGUACCGUGAGGGAAAGAUGAAAAGAACUUUGAAAAGAGAGUUAAACAGUACGUGAAAUUGUCAAAAGGGAAGCGUUUGACACCAGUGUUGUUUUUCUCGAAAAUCAAUUACGAAUGGUUUGAUGUUUGAGAAGUUAAUGACUUCAUCAGCUUGCUUCUCUCUUUACUGAUCUUUCCGUAAUGCACUUUUCGGUUAACAAGUCAACAUCAAUUUCUUUGUUGUAAAAGGGUAAUGAGGAAGGUGGCUUUACUUUCGGAGUAAAGUGUUUAUAGCCUUGUAGCCUCUGCAAUCGGAGAGAUUGAGGUCUGCAGCGUAGAUCCUUCGGGGUUAGAUACAGUUUGUGCUAAGGUUAUAGCUUUUCAUAGACAACUUGUUGACUAUGUUAAGUCUUGUAGCUUACUCGCUUAUGCUAUUUUACCUACGCUUAGGAUGUUGAACUACUGAGACAUAG
rnacentral:rRNA from 1 species